rnacentral:rRNA from 1 species
GACGAACGCUGGCGGCGUGCCUAAUACAUGCAAGUAGAACGCACAGUUUAUACCGUAGCUUGCUACACCAUAAACUGUGAGUUGCGAAUGGGUCAGUAACGCGUAGGUAACCUGCCUGGUAGCGGGGGAUAACUAUUGGAAACGAUAGCUAAUACCGCAUAAUUUUGAUUAUUGCUUGAUAAUUGAUUGAAAGCUGCUAUUGCAUCACUACCAGUUGGACCUGCGUUGUAUUAGCUAGUAGGAGAAGUAACGGCUAACCUAGGCGACGACACAUAGCCCAAAUCAUGGGGUGAUCAGACACACUGGGGCCGGGACAAGGCCCAGACACCUAAAGAGGCACGCAGUAGUGGACCUUAGGAUAUGGACGAGAGUCUGAACGAGCAACGCCGCGUGAAGGAUAAAGAGUCUCGAGUCGUAAAGCACUGUAAUAAGAGAAGAACGGGUGUGAGAAUGGAAAGUUCACACUGUGACGGUAUCUAACCAGAAAGGCACGGCUAACUACGUG